rnacentral:rRNA from 1 species
AUUGAACGCUGGCGGCAGGCCUAACACAUGCAAGUCGAGCGAGGGGCGGGCGGGUGAGUAAUGUAUGGGGACUGCCCGAUAGAGGGGGAUAACUACUGGAAACGGUAGCUAAUACCGCAUACUAUCGGAUAACCCAUAUGGUAGUAGGUAUUAGGUGAGGUAAUGGCUCACCUAGGCGACGAGCCCUAGCUGGUCUGAGAGGAUGAUCAGCAACACUGUGACUGAGACACGGCCCAGACUCCUAAGGAGGCAGCGGUGGGGAAUAUUGCACAAGGGGCGCAAGCCUGAUGCAGCCAUGCGGCGUGUAUGAAGAAGACCCUAGGGUUGUAAAGUAUUUUCAGUCGGGAGGCGUUACCGACAGAAGAAGCACCGGCUAACUCCGUGCCAGCAGCCGCGGUAAUUC